rnacentral:rRNA from 1 species
CCAAUAGCGUAUAUUAAAGUUGUUGCAGUUAAAAAGCUCGUAGUUGAAUUUCGGAAUCUGUCCGUUGGUCGGGCUUUAUUGUCCGUACUGAUGUGAUGGGUUCUUACCUUCUGAAUAACCAGCAUGUCAUUAAUUUGGUGUGUUGGGGAAGCAGGACUAUUACCUUGAAAAAAUUAGAGUGCUCAAAGCAGGCUAGUGCCUGAAUACAUUAGCAUGGAAUAAUAAAAUAGGACGGCAUGGUUCUACUUUGUUGGUUUCUAGGAUCACCGUAAUGAUUAAUAGGGAUAGUUGGGGGCAUUAGUAUUCAAUUGUCAGAGGUGAAAUUCUUGGAUUUAUUGAAGACUAACUUCUGCGAAAGCAUUUGCCAAGGAUGUUUUCAUUAAUCAAGAACGAAAGUUAGGGGAUCGAAGACGAUCAGAUACCGUCGUAGUCUUAACCAUAAACUAUGCCGACUAGGGAUCGGACGAUGUUAAUUUUUUAAUGACUCGUUCGGCGCCUUACG